UUAGUGGCAAAAUUUCAGUGAACACUAAAAACACAUAAUCAAAUAAAACAUUCCUGCAGAAAAAUGCAGGAGUAUUUACACUAAGUGGGAUAAAUGUAGCCUAUAAAUAGAUUUAGGUCAAUUUUUGUCAUCAAAUGAGUUCUUUAAAAAUCUUUUGGCUUGUGGAGUAUGUGUUUCAGAAUUGUGGAAUAGGGAUGUAGACCUGUACCCUGACAGGUUAAAGAAUGAGCGGGACCUUUUAUAUAUCUGCAGUACAUUAGAUUCAAAUGAAGCACAUUGAGUGGGUGAGUGCUCAAAAUCCAUUUUAGUCUUCAUUCUAUUUAUUUUUAAUUGGUGCAUUAUAGUUAUAUGUCUAAUUGGAAUGAAUUGUGACAUAUUCAUACAUGCACAUAGCAUAAUUUGAUCAAUUUCAAUAGAGUAGAGUAAGAGGCUUAGGGAAGGAGGGAAGACAAAGAGAAAGUGCUGAGGAUUGAAAUGAAGAAAAUUAUGUUAUAUGCAUUUAUGAAUAGGUGAAAAUGAACCCCACUAGUAUGUGUAACUAUAAUGCACUAAUAAAUUUUUAAAAACCAUUUUAAGCAGCUAUGUUCAAAGAUAUAAAAUAUUUAUGCUUCUCUUUCAGUUAUUAAUAUAACCUGAUCCAAUAUUGCCUUAGAGAAGUCAGGGAAAUCUGGGUGUUUUAGUGGGCCCCAAGGUACCUCUGGGAGCCACGACAGUUAAGGAGUACAGUUAUAUGUAGUUAGAGCUCAAAAAAGCCACACACACCCAGAGAUGCUCUGUCAUCACAUGAGGUCAGACCACACAGGGCAUA
rnacentral:lncRNA from 1 species